rnacentral:rRNA from 1 species
AGCACGUGGAUAACCUACCUAUAAGACUGGGAUAACUUCGGGAAACCGGAGCUAAUACCAGAUAACAUGUUGAACCGCAUGGUUCAACAGUGAAAGACGGUCUUGCUGUCACUUAUAGAUGGAUCCGCGCCGCAUUAGCUAGUUGGUAAGGUAACGGCUUACCAAGGCAACGAUGCGUAGCCGACCUGAGAGGGUGAUCGGCCACACUGGAACUGAGACACGGUCCAG